AGCAGCCGCGGUAAUUCCAGCUCCAAUAGCGUAUAUUAAAGUUGUUGCAGUUAAAAAGCUCGUAGUUGAAUUUCGGGGUUAGUAGGUUGGUCAUGCCUCUGGUAUGUACUGGUCUCACUGAUUCCUCCUUCCUGAUGAACCUUAAUGCCAUUAAUUUGGUGUUUUGGGGAAUUUGGACUGUUACUUUGAAGAAAUUAGAGUGUUUAAAGCAAGCUAACGCUUGAAUACAUUAGCAUGGAAUAAUGAAAUAGGACGUUCGAUCCUAUUUUGUUGGUUUCUAGGAUUGACGUAAUGAUUAAUAGGGAUAGUUGGGGGCAUUAGUAUUCAAUUGUCAGAGGUGAAAUUCUUGGAUUUAUUGAAGACUAACUACUGCGAAAGCAUUUGCCAAGGAUGUUUUCAUUAAUCAAGAACGAAAGUUAGGGGAUCGAAGACGAUCAGAUACCGUCGUAGUCUUAACCAUAAACUAUGCCGAC
rnacentral:misc_RNA from 1 species